UCAAAUUAAAGUUCCUAACUAAAAAUAAUUUAAUUAUAAUCUAAAUUUAUAUAUUUUAAUUCAAAUUUUAAUACAAAAUUUCAAAUUAUACUUCAAAUUUAAAUAUAAAAUUAUAAUUUUGAAUUUUAAAUUUUUGUAUUGAAUUUGAUUUUACAAAUAAAUUUUAGAAUGUGAAAUUAUAUUUAUGAUUUCAAUUCAAAUUUAAGUUGAAAUUUAAUUUUAAAACUAAAUUCCAAGAUUAAAGUUAAGACAGAAUAUAACAUUUUAGAUAAAUUCUCUACAAUUGGGGACUUCAAAAUUUUUUGAACUGAAGUUCAAAAAGUGAGAUUUAGUUAUAACUCACUUCUUAAUCGACUUUUGAAAAAGUGACAUUUAUAUUUAUUUCGCAAGCUAAACAAUCGAUAAAAUAUUAUUUUUUAAAAAAUAGUACUUUUUGUACUUUAUUUUUGGCCAACCGAAACACCAAUUGUAGAACAUAUUGCAAUUAUAAAUUAGUUGUUUGGUUAUGUGUGGUUAGAAGUGCAUUUCAAAAUUUCAUCACUUUAUAUAUUUGAUGAUAAGAUUAACUCUAAUGUAGAAAAAUAUAUAUUUUCUUUUUAAAAAAAGAUUAGAUUGGUGAGCUUAAUCUUUGUUUAAAGUUUACUUAUUUUAAUUACUGCAGUUGAAACUGCGAUGAAUUUUGACAUAGUUCCAACUAUUGUAAUCAAGGCUCUUUAUGCAGUUUCAAUUGUAGUAUUCAAAUUCAAAUGUAUUAAAUCAAUUUAAAACUGCAUGUAUUUAACAAUUACAUUGCAAUUAUAACUAUAAGCAACUAAACACCCUUCUUAGUUACCUAAUAG
rnacentral:lncRNA from 1 species